rnacentral:misc_RNA from 1 species
GAUGAAGAACGCAGCGAAAUGCGAUAAGUAAUGUGAAUUGCAGAAUUCAGUGAAUCAUCGAAUCUUUGAACGCACCUUGCACCCUUUGGCAUUCCGAAGGGUAUGCUCGUUUGAGUGUCAUUGUACUCUCACACUUCCAAUCUUUGGAUUGGGAGCAGUGGACUUGGGUGUUGCUGCUUACUGUGGCUCACCUCAAAUCGAUUCGUGCACCUCUUGGUUGGACAUAGUACGGCGUGAUAAGUGUCUUCGCCGGCACCUCAGUAGAGGGUGGCUGAUCAGGAGCUCUGUGCUUCAAACCGUCCUCGGACAAAAACUGACAACUUGACCUCAAAUCGAGUAGGACUACCCGCUGAACUUAAGCAUAUCAAACGGAGGA